rnacentral:rRNA from 1 species
AUGUGUUGUGAUGGCGCAACAGUUUUGCUGAAAAGCAGCAACACUGACGCCAUGUUACCCACGCUCCACAUGCUUGACUUUGCAGCAGCUCAGCUUGCUAAAUCUGAUUUUAGGUGUUCAAAUACUGUACAUAUGCUUCAAGUCUUGCAUGAAAUUGCAUUGGUUACAUCAGCAGAUCAAAAUGAUGAUACACUACAAGGUGAACAAGGUAUACUUAAUACCUUGGUAACUCAGCUCGCCAUCAAUAAGGGCUCUGACCUUACACCCAAGCUAGUUGCGGCUCAGCUACAUAGCACAUUUGAUAUGUUCAGAACCCUACCAAGGACUUCAUUGCCACCAAUGUUUGCGGAGGUAUGCACAAGCUUGGCUAAGAAGAUGCAACACUUGGUGAUGCUAGAUGAUAUUAGUGCUUAUUUGUCCUUGGAGCUGCACUUAUUGGUUCAAACGAUCACACGCAAUGGAGUAAUAGGAAGGAGGAAUGUUGAAGCUCCAGCCUACUGCUGCGACCAGGACCUCGAUGAGGCUUACUACAUCAAUGAAGUCCAUGUUAACCAACACUACUACCUCGACGCUUUAUGUGACCAAGUGAACAUCAACAACGACUACUUCCUUGGGCAAGUCGGCAUCGUCUGCUACCUCAACCUCACCAAGUUUCGCACCCACUAUGGCACCCAUUGCGACCUUGGUGAAGUCAUGCAUCAUCAAGUACCAUGGGAUCCAGGAGGUUCGCCAUGGCAUCGGCUUGAGGUCAAGCCAAAUUUUAAGAAGUGGGGAAUGUUAGCGACCAACCCUGCUAGUGUGAUGGGCUGGGCCAUGUGUUGCUGGGCUUGGGCUGCACAGAGGCCCGGCGAGGAAGCAACUACAUAUACGAGGGAAUCGGCAACAGACAGGUUCUUCUUGUUAUCGCCGUGGCGAGUUGGUACUACUAGUACCGGAGCAGUAAGUGCAGCAGCGGUGAUCCGGCCAGUUGUGGAUGGCUUGCUAUGUGUAGUGUGUACACAUUGA